rnacentral:rRNA from 1 species
CACUAGCGCGGUGGUCCCACCUGACCCCAUGCCGAACUCAGAAGUGAAACGCUGAAGCGCCGAUGGUAGUGUGGG